rnacentral:tRNA from 1 species
AAGGGUAUAGCUCAACUGGUAGAGUUCUUGCUUAGUAUGCAUGAGGUCCUGGGUUCAAUUCCCAGUACCUCCA